UACGAAGGGUGCAAGCGUUAUCCGGAUUCAUUGGGUUUAAAGGGUGCGUAGGUGGGCAGGUAAGUCAGUGGUGAAAUCUCCGGGCUUAACCCGGAAACUGCCAUUGAUACUAUCAGUCUUGAAUACCGUGGAGGUAAGCGGAAUAUGUCAUGUAGCGGUGAAAUGCUUAGAUAUGACAUAGAACACCAAUUGCGAAGGCAGCUUACUACCCGAAUAUUGACACUGAGGCACGAAAGCGUGGGGAUCAAACAGG
rnacentral:rRNA from 1 species